rnacentral:rRNA from 1 species
UUCUAAAAGAAUUAAUUUUUAGUAAACCCUGCUCAAUGAAAUUUAAAUAGCCGCAAAAUUUGUGCUAAGGUAGCAUAAUAAUUUGCCUAAUAAUUAUAGGAUAGUAUGAAUGGGAUAACAUGUAAUCUUCUUUAUUAUCUAGAUUAUUCUAAUUUAUUUCGUAAGCAAGAAUACUUACAAAACUAGGGGGACGAUAAGACCCUGUCAAACUUAACCUUUAAAAGUUUAGCUGGGGCGGCAGAAAAUCAAACCUUUACUCCUGGAGAACAAUAAAGCCCGUAUAAUAGAUAAACAAGUUACUGCAGGGAUAACAGCACAAUUACUCCUAAAAGACCUUAUAAAAUGGGUAGUUUGUGACCUCGAUGUUGAAUAAAGAUCUUUUUGAGGCAGUCCUCUAACAAGAAAGUCUGUUCGACUUUUAAACCAUUACA